UCCUACGGGACGCAGCAGUGGGGAAUAUUGGACAAUGGGCGCAAGCCUGAUCCAGCCAUGCCGCGUGUGUGAAGAAGGCCUUCGGGUUGUAAAGCACUUUUGUUGGGGAAGAAAAGCUCUUGGUUAAUACCCAGGGGUCAUGACGGUACCCAAAGAAUAAGCACCGGCUAACUUCGUGCCAGCAGCCGCGGUAAUACGAAGGGUGCAAGCGUUACUCGGAAUUACUGGGCGUAAAGCGUGCGUAGGUGGUGAGUUAAGUCUGUCGUGAAAGCCCCGGGCUCAACCUGGGAAUGGCGAUGGAUACUGGCUCGCUAGAGUGCGGUAGAGGAGAGUGGAAUUCCCGGUGUAGCAGUGAAAUGCGUAGAGAUCGGGAGGAACAUCAGUUGCGAAGGCGGCUCUCUGGACCAGCACUGACACUGAGGCACGAAAGCGUGGGGAGCAAACAGGAUUAGAUACCCCCGUAGUCCC
rnacentral:rRNA from 1 species